rnacentral:rRNA from 1 species
AUUGAACGCUGGCGGCAGGCCUAACACAUGCAAGUCGAACGAGUGGCGGACGGGUGAGUACUGUCUGGGAAACUGCCCGUUGGAGGGGGAUAACUCCUGGAAACGGUAGCUAAUACCGCAUACCAUCGGAUGUGCCCCGAUGGGAUUAGCUUGUAGGUGAGGUACCGGCUCACCUAGGCGACGAUCCCUAGCGGGGCUGAGAGGAUGACCAGCCACACUGGAACUGAGACACGGUCCAGACUCCUACGGGAGGAAGCAGUGGGGAAUAUUGCACAAUGGGCGCAAGCCUGAUGCAGCCAUGCCGCGUGUAUGAAGAAGGCCUUCGGGUUGUAAAGUACUUUCAGGGGGGAGGCGUUACCCGCAGAAGAAGCACCGGCUAACUCCGUGCCAGCAGCCGCGGUAAUUC